AUUGAACGCUGGCGGAAUGCUUUACACAUGCAAGUCGAACGGCAGCACGGACUUCGGUCUGGUGGCGAGUGGCGAACGGGUGAGUAAUGCAUCGGAACAUACCCAGUCGUGGGGGAUAACGUAGCGAAAGUUACGCUAAUACCGCAUACGUCCUGAGGGAGAAAGCGGGGGAUCGCAAGACCUCGCGCUAUUGGAGUGGCCGAUGUCAGAUUAGCUAGUUGGUGGGGUAAAGGCCCACCAAGGCGACGAUCUGUAGCGGGUCUGAGAGGAUGAUCCGCCACACUGGGACUGAGACACGGCCCAGACUCCUACGGGAGGCAGCAGUGGGGAAUUUUGGACAAUGGGGGCAACCCUGAUCCAGCCAUGCCGCGUGCGGGAAGAAGGCCUUCGGGUUGUAAACCGCUUUCGGACGGAAAGAAAUCGCCAUCUCUAAUACAGGUGGUGGAUGACGGUACCGUAAGAAGAAGCACCGGCUAACUACGUGCCAGCCGCCGCAGUAA
rnacentral:rRNA from 1 species